ensembl:lncRNA
CUCAGGUGAUUUAAUUUACCUGUGCCAGGGCCUGCCCACCCUCCCAGAGGAGAAUUCCCUCCCAACAUCCCAACCAAACCUCCUCUCUGUCAGUUCAGAGGGAUUUUCUUGCUGUUUCUCAGCUUUCCCUCCAUAGUGGUGCCUUUCACCACCAAAUCAGGAGCUUUGCCCAGGGUUCAUUUUUGGGACAAAAUCGUUUUUCCGGGAUGGAGGUUUGUGCUUUGCAGGGUGAGGUUUCACAGGUGGCCGGCCAGGGGCAAAGGCAGGGGAUGUUCCCAGGGGACAGAGGAGUGUGAGCAGCCCCAGCCCAGCCCAGUGUCUGCUCAGGUACCAAUUCCACUGAUUUCAAGUUAAAAUAAUUGGGAUUUCAUGGACAUUGGGAGAUGUGGAGGAGUGUGAGCAGCCCCAGCCCAGCCCAGUGUCUGCUCAGGUACCAAUUCCACUGAUUUCAAGUUAAAAUAAUUGGGAUUUCAUGGACGUUGGGAGAUGUGGCUUGAUCUCUUCUCGUGGCUCUGCUGUGGAAGUGAAAACCUCCUUCAACGCCCCCUUAAACCUCAUUCCAGCUGUUUGUCCUUCCUCAGCCUCAGGAACCCCUCAAAGCUCAUUCCAGCUGUUUCUUGAAGCAUGGACCUCAAGGCAGGUGCCUCAACCCCACGUUUUUGGAGCACUCUUAAUUAAUUUUGUGCCUCCAAAGCUGUAUUUAGUGAGUCAUGGUCAUUGAAAUCCCCUUAAUUGGACGUUUUUGGGUUUGGGACAGAAAUAUCAACCUGUACAAAAGCAAGCUGAGGAGAGGAGAAUGUUUAUUUUGUGUGCUUUUGUUUGACUCAGAGAAACAGAAUCCUGGUUUGUGAUGAUUUCUGCUUUUAGGGCAAAAGCCAGAUCUCAAAUGAACAGUUUUAACGUGUUGGUUUGGUGUUUUUCUUUCAGGUGGGUUCUCCCAAAUGAAGACAACCACUCAGAAUACGUUCCCGAGGAGUUGGGCCUAGCAAUAUGGCAGCGCACGUUCCAUAGGAAACCCUGCAGAACGCUGUUGCUGCUGCUGAGCUCCGUUCCCAAGGAGGGCACAAUCCCUGCCCCGCCCCGGCCUCCACCACUGCGGGCCCUGAGCUUUCUCCACCCCAAAAUUCCAUCCCUGGAUUUGCAAAGAUGCUGCAGCACGAAUUUUUGGCUGCUGAAAAAACUUUGGGAGAAGCUGGAUGCUUUUAAGGUGAGUGAAGUUGGAGGAUGAAUUUAGAUAACCUUUGGGCAGAUGGUGAAAGUUUAACAUCUAUAACAGGAGUUUCUUGCCGCCCAGCGAUUCCAAAUGAAGGAAAAAAAAAUUGUAUUUUAUAAUUGCAUAUUUAAAGGUUGAAGUGAUUUAUUUUAAGAACCUGCACCAAAAAAAAAAUAAAAAAAAAAAAAAAGAAGAGGGAGAAUUUUCU